AGAGUUUGAUCCUGGCUCAGGAUGAACGCUGGCGGCGUGCUUAACACAUGCAAGUCGAACGAUGAUCCGGUGCUUGCAUCGGGGAUUAGUGGCGAACGGGUGAGUAACACGUGAGUAACCUGCCCUUAACUCUGGGAUAAGCCUGGGAAACUGGGUCUAAUACCGGAUAUGACUCCUCAUCGCAUGGUGGGGGGUGGAAAGCUUUUUUGUGGUUUUGGAUGGACUCGCGGCCUAUCAGCUUGUUGGUGAGGUAAUGGCUCACCAAGGCGACGACGGGUAGCCGGCCUGAGAGGGUGACCGGCCACACUGGGACUGAGACACGGCCCAGACUCCUACGGGAGGCAGCAGUGGGGAAUAUUGCACAAUGGGCGCAAGCCUGAUGCAGCGACGCCGCGUGAGGGAUGACGGCCUUCGGGUUGUAAACCUCUUUCAGUAGGGAAGAAGCGAAAGUGACGGUACCUGCAGAAGAAGCGCCGGCUAACUACGUGCCAGCAGCCGCGGUAAUACGUAGGGCGCAAGCGUUAUCCGGAAUUAUUGGGCGUAAAGAGCUCGUAGGCGGUUUGUCGCGUCUGCCGUGAAAGUCCGGGGCUCAACUCCCGGAUCUGCCGGUGGGUACGGGCAGACUAGAGUGAUGUAGGGGAGACUGGAAUUCCUGGUGUAGCGGUGAAAUGCGCAGAUAUCAGGAGGAGCACCGAUGGCGAAGGCAGGUCUCUGGGCAUUAACUGACGCUGAGGGGCGAAAGCAUGGGGAGCGAACAGGAUUAGAUACCCUGGUAGUCCAUGCCGUAAACGUUGGGCACU
rnacentral:rRNA from 1 species